UACGAAGGGGGCUAGCGUUGUUCGGAAUUACUGGGCGUAAAGGGCGCGUAGGCGGCGUGUCAAGUCAGGCGUGAAAGCCCCGGGCUCAACCUGGGAACCGCGCUUGAGACUGGCAUGCUCGAGUUCGGGAGAGGAUGGUGGAAUUCCCAGUGUAGAGGUGAAAUUUCGUAGAUAUUUGGGGAAGAACACCGAUGGCGAAGGCAGCCAUCUGGACCGAC
rnacentral:rRNA from 1 species